AUUGAACGCUGGCGGAAGGCCUAACACAUGAAAGUCGAGCGGAGCGGCGGACGGGUGAGUAAUGCCUAGGAAUCUGCCUGGUCGUGGGGGAUAACGUACGGAAACGUGCGCUCAUACCGCAUACUAUCAGAUGAGCCUCGGUCGGAUUAGCUAGUUGGUGGGGUAAAGGCCUACCAAGGCGACGAUCCGUAACUGGUCUGAGAGGUGGAUCAGUCACACUGGAACUGAGACACGGUCCAGACUCCUACGGGAGGCAGCAGUGGGGAAUAUUGGACAAUGGGCGAAAGCCUGAUCCAGCCAUGCCGCGUGUGUGAAGAAGGUCUUCGGAUUGUAAAGCACUUUAAGUUGGGAGGCGUUACCAACAGAAUAAGCACCGGCUAACUUCGUGCCAGCCGCCGCGGUAAUAC
rnacentral:rRNA from 1 species